UACGUAGGGACCGAGCGUUGUCCGGAAUCAUUGGGCGUAAAGAGCGUGUAGGCGGCCACUUAAGUCCUGCGUGAAAUCUUGCGGCUCAACCGCAAGCGGUCGUGGGAAACUGGGUGGCUAGAGUGCGGGAGAGGAGAGUGGAAUUCCUGGUGUAGCGGUGAAAUGCGCAGAUAUCAGGAGGAACACCGGUGGCGAAGGCAGCUCGCUGGCCUACAACUGACGCUGAGGCGCGAAAGCGUGGGGAGCAAACAGG
rnacentral:rRNA from 1 species